CAAGCGGUGGAGCAUGUGGUUUAAUUCGACGCAACGCGAAGAACCUUACCAGGGCUUGACAUCCCUCGCUAUUCGUAGAAAUAUGGAGUUCCAUGCUUCGGUAUGGACGAGGAGACAGGUGGUGCAUGGUUGUCGUCAGCUCGUGUCGUGAGAUGUUGGGUUAAGUCCCGCAACGAGCGCAACCCCUACUUUUAGUUGCCAGCAAUAAGAUGGGCACUCUAAAGGAACUGCCGGUGACAAACCGGAGGAAGGUGGGAUGACGUCAAAUCAUCAUGCCCUUUAUGUUCUGGGCUACACACGUGCUACAAUGGCCGGUACAGAGGGCGGCGAAGGAGUGAUCCGGAGCGAAUCCCAAAAAGCCGGUCUCAGUUCGGAUUGCAGGCUGCAACUCGCCUGCAUGAAGUCGGAAUCGCUAGUAAUCGCGAGUCAGCAUAUCGCGGUGAAUACGUUCCCGGGUCUU
rnacentral:rRNA from 1 species